UACGGAGGGUGCAAACGUUGUCCGGAAUCACUGGGCGUAAAGCGCAUGUAGGUGGCUAAGUAAGUGGAUGAUUAAAGACCGAUGCUUAACAUCGGGCCGGUUGUCUAUACUGCUUGGCUUGAGAGUGACAGGGGUAAGCGGAACUUUAGGUGUAGGAGUGAAAUCCGUAGAUAUCUAAAGGAACACCAAUGGCGAAGGCAGCUUACUGGGUCAUUUCUGACACUGAGAUGCGAAAGCGUGGGGAGCGAACGGG
rnacentral:rRNA from 1 species